rnacentral:misc_RNA from 1 species
AUCGCGCCGCAUCGCGUCCUCCGCGCCGCGGGAACAAGUUGGGUUCGGCUCGGUGGAGGGGAUAGGACCGCGGGAGGGGGCCAGAAGAGCGGCGGAGAGCCGCGGCGGCCGAAAGCGCAUAGCGAGAGGGCCAUCACUCGGUGCGCCGCCCCGCAACCAGGGUCAGGUGCUGGAAGGAACGAGGACAGGAAGGAAGGAGGAAGCGAUCGCCCGCAAGGUGGACGGAGGGUGGACCCUCGAGGAGAGGUCGAGGUCGAGGCGCGGAAUGGCGCGAGCAGCGAGGUCCUUCACGGGGAAAGGCGUUAUCAGCGGCUGCUAGCGGGCCGAUAUCCAGGAGGCCGAUUUUACACCUCUCGCUGGCUGUCAGGAUCUCGGCCGAAGGGAAGAGACUCGAGUCGACGGUAGCGCAGGUGAGAGCGAGGUCGAGGGAGGUCGACGAAUCGGGCCCCAUCAGCCCCGAGACGUCCCCAGGGCCCGAGGGCGGCGGGGCCUCGAGGGGGCGCGGCGAGGACGGCGAGGACGGCGACGACGGCUCGCGAUGCCGAGGGACGCCUCGGGGACGAACCGGGGGAGCAGCUGGUGAACCGGCCGGCCCCGGGUAAGGCCCGCGCGCGCCGGGAGGAGGGCAGCGGUCCCCUCGUCGUCGGUCGAGCCCCGGCGGGCCGCCCCCGCGGGGGAGCGGACCGGGCGGUGCCCUCGAGGGCGCGAGCGCGACUGCGCCCCCUGGGCGGGUCGCCAUGGCGGCCUCCUCGUCCUCGUCCAACGGCGAGCAGCAGUACUCUCUCCGAUGGAACGACUUCCACUCGAGCAUCCUCAGCUCGUUCCGCCACCUGCGCGACGAGGAAGACUUCGUCGACGUGACCCUCGCCUGCGACAGCAGCAGCUUCACCGCCCACAAGGUCGUCCUGUCGGCGUGCAGCCCCUACUUCCGGAGGCUCCUCAAGGCGAAUCCCUGCCAACAUCCGAUUGUGAUCCUGAGGGACGUCGCCUCGUCGGACAUGGAAUCCCUUCUGCGAUUCAUGUACCACGGCGAGGUCCACGUGGGCCAGGAACAACUCGGGGCCUUCCUGAAGACCGCGCAGAUGCUGCAGGUUCGAGGCCUCGCGGAUGUCAACAGCGGCGCAGCGGCUGCCAAGAUUCCACCCCCGGCCUCCUCGGCUGCCAACAAUGGCAGCGCGCCCACCACGCCGCGGAAUCUCUGGCAGGAUAACGGCAGGGGCGAUCCCAAUGACGGAGGACUCUGCUCGCCACCUACGAAGAGGCCCAGGAGUUACUCGCCGCCGUUGGCGAACCACGUCGAGCAGAAGUCUGACCUCCAGGAGUCCCUUUUGGGGCAGGCGUUGGAGGGUGGCCCGACGAUACACACACCAAGCAACAACGUCCAGUCAUGCGGGAAGAUUUCAAGGAAGACUUGGUUUACCUGCAACCCUGGGGUUGCUUUCUGCUUUCAGGCCCAGUCGACAGGCGAAGACUCCAACUCCAUGUCGGAUAACGAGGAGGACACGUCGAAUAACGAGAGCAUCCUGAACUCCGUCAAGACCGAGCCCGCCGAUCUCCUAAACGACUCCAUGGAGCACCAUCGAGGGACCUUCCCUGCUGCCCUUCUGGGUCUUCAAGGACUGAUGCCAGGACCCUCGGGGAUCCACGCGGCCAACCAGGACCCGAAUUACGGAUCGGUGAUGCCGAAGCGGGAGGACGUCGGGGUGGGCGUCGGCGUCGGCGUCGGGGUCGGCGUCGGCGUCGGCGCGUGCCCGUCCGAGUCCCAGGCCGUGGAGAACUUCGCUAGGCUCUACACGGCCCUGAGGCACGACGACGCGAGGCCGGUGUGCCGUUACUGCGGACGCAGCUACUCCUCGCCGAGCAACCUAAGGCAGCACGUGAAAAACGUCCACUCGAACUGGCCGCCCCCUGACACGUGGCCCCAGUGCAACGUGUGCGGGAAGCGCUGCAAGACGAAGCACUACCUGAUUAACCACCAGCUCCAGGCCCACGGGAUCCACCAGAGGCCGAGUCUCAACAAUCCCAACAACCCGGCCAGCCAGCACCAGGCCCCUUCGCUGCCCUGAGACCGCGCCUCGGGACCAUGAACGACGCGGCCCCGACCCGGGCGGGCACGCGGUCCGCGGGGACCUCGCGCGCUGCUCGUCGUGCGCGUUCGGAGGGAGGCGAUUGCGCAGCGUCCGGGGACUCGCGACGCCGGUCGACGGACCGGGAUCCAGGUCCGGUGGCGGUAGAGGAACGAGACGGGACGAGACCCGGGUCGCGACCACCGUGCGGUUUCGGCGCAACGGUGGGCGGGGGUCGAUAGCUGGUCGAUAGCUGGUCGGUGCCAGGAUCCCGGGCUCGAUGAGGCAGAGGGUGCGGCUUACCACCACCACCACAGCCAUCACCAGCAACGUCACCGCGCCCACCACCACGAGCACCAGCACCGAAGUCAGGCCCGG